GAUCCGUCUACAUUUUAAUGACUGUAAGGACUGCUGGACCUGUUUCAUUGCUUGCAGUUAGCUCAUGUGUGGCCUGUCCUUUAUUUUAUUCCCCAUGGAUAAAGAUGGAACCAGAAAGAACUGAUAUCUGCUCAUGUCCAUCAGAAUGGGACACAUUUAUGCUAGCGCGUAGCUAGUGUAGAUUUCAUUUUAUGGAGCAUGGACAGCACAAGACGCAACAAAUUUAUUAAGACCCCUGCAUCUCCUAAUAAAUUUGGUGGAUCUUACUCCAACAGACUUUUUUUUUUACAAAGUCUGGUGUAUGAAACACCAGUCUUUAGUAAAUAUGACCCAAUGUUCAUGUUAAUGGAGAAAUCUAGGGUUAUAAAUGUAAAUCAAAAGAUGGCUCUAUGGCUAUAUUAGGCUGAUCAUAACUAGUCAAUUGGUGCUUCCAUCAAGUCCUAUUGGUGUCCACCACUGGGACCACUGCAAUGAUCUAGUUGAUUGAAGGUUCUACUGUAGUAACUGGCUACAGUUUGGUCUAAAGCUGGUCACAAACCAAGUGCUUCUACUACACACUUGGGUCAGUUGAAUGUGCACAUUUAUGUCUAUGGCAGCAAAAAGAACAAGCUGAUGCCAAACCCAUCUUGGAGGAAAACAUUAGGCACUGGCAAGGUAGAGCGACUGUCUAUUGUUCCUUUAAGAAUAGAUAUCUAAAGGGCCUUUAUUAUGGGUUCAUUGCCUCAUUUAAAAGGCAACUUUCAUUCACUCCAACAAUUGUCCAGUGUAACAUCUAUUAACGAGCGACUGUUGACUUGCUAUUGAGGAUUGGCACUGUCAUGGACAAUUAUCUGCCCAUGCAAAAGGAACCUAAGGAUGUCCCGAUCCCCACAUAAACUGUGCCAUUAAUGGUGAACAAUAUAUUAUCUAUGGCCAGUUUAAUACCUGGUUCUGUUUAUGUGGGAAGAGAAGAGUCAAAAUACAAAUCAGGUUGAUAUUAGAUUCCUCUACAGAACACUGAUGAUGACGAUGAUGCCAUGUGACUACAAUACCCACUCUUUCAUACCAGAGUGAAACAUUAAUAAUAAUGAAUUACUAAUUUCUGCGCAUUAUUACCUUCUCAGCACAGUGAAAAGAUCCAAUAAGGAAAGAAGGAGGAAGAAGAAUAAGGCAUCAGAGAGGAGAUCUCUUCAGGUGGGGGCAGAUGGAUAGACGAGUAAGGAAAGAAAAUCAGCUGAUCAAGAGCAAGAAAAAGAGGGUGUCAAAAAGUGGCAAGUUGUAUUGUUUCCAGGUAAGCCUCUGCAGAAGACACAGGAGUGCCUGAGACUGGGUGAGGAAGUAGCUGCAGAUUCCUGUGUGUCGCUAGCUAGCAGUGGAGCAAACAAUGAUAAAAAUGCCCGUCAAGGAAAGACAUAAGUGAAAAUGGGUAUGGAACUCCCACUGUGCAGAUGAGCAAAAUUCUAUGGUCAUCACCAUUUAACUAGGCAUUGGAGGAACACCAUUUUGAUCCCGCAACAGGGCAACCCUGGGAACUUACAGCAUCAUAGGAAUUGGGAUUUGUGGAGGUGCAAUAACUGCAGGCAUAUUACCUUCUGUAAAACCAGGGUUGUUCCAA